GCAGACGGUCGUCACCCAGGGGCGCCUGAGGUGGUGGCAGGUCCUGGGAUCCGGGAGCUUGACCUGAAACCCAGCGCUCACGGCAUGGCCGUGGUGAGCUGUCUCCCGCCGGAAGCUGGGUCUGUCGUGGGGCCUCGCUGAAGGGCAUGUGAUACAGACAGUGUUAAGGGCACAAGCUUCCGGGGUUCAAAAUCCGGCCCAGUCGUUUCCUUGUUGUGCCAUCUUGGGCAACGCUCUUCACAUGCCCAGGCCUCAGGGUUUUGGCCGCAGACAAGGAUCACAGCUUGAAGACAGAACGAGAAAGGCCUGGAAAAGAAAGGAACGACACAGGACCCGAGGCGGGACACAGCGGCAGGCUCGGGACCGGCACCCCGACGGGCACCUCUUGCAAGCAGAGGCAGAGGCAGCGAGCGCGCGGGAUGGAUGCGGAUGUGGGCGAGCUGGGCCCGGCUCGCAGGAGGCCGCGUUGAGCGGGUGCAUUUCGCUGACAAACGUACAACUGCCCCUGAAGAGUAACACAAGUGCCAGCCAGCCUUCCAGGCCCUUCCCCCAAGUGCCUCUCUUCCAGCCGGCCCCAGAGCCUGAUGUGGAGUCCUUCUCCGGAGCUGCCUUCGUGGGCGUCCUGAAGUCUGUUUCCCUUGAGCAGUGGGGGCGGGGAAAGGGAAGCCGUGCCAGCAUCCGCUUCCGAAACCGCUCCCACCCGACACGGUCUCGCUACUGUUUAUCCGCACUUGCCCGCGCCACUCCCCACGCGAGCGGCAGGAGCGCCGCGGCCCAAGGCCAUCUGCAUUUAGACGGUUGGCACAUCCCCUCCCCAUGGGGAACCCACGAGCUCAGGGUGAAGCAGAGUGUGUUUCAGAUCCGCCUGUUCUUUGUGGAUUGGGGGGUGGCAUCCCUGUCCCGGCUGGACCCUCGGCUUCAGCGCUCACACGAGGUUACGGUCAGGUUGUCGGCCGAGGCCAGGAUGUUGUCUGAAGGCUCGACUGGGGAAAGACCUGCUCGGCGGGCUCUUGCAGGGGUCAGCAGGGCUGUUCCCCGAGAGCUCACGGACCGAGGGCCUUGGGUCCAGGCUGUGGGCGGCUGGUGGCUGGAGGCAGCCCUCGGUCCCUCGCCACGGGCGUGUCUCCCACACACCACGAAGGCAAUGGAGAGAGCUGACCGGCGAGACAGAAGCCGCCGUCUUUUGUAA
rnacentral:lncRNA from 1 species